AGUUAAGUUAUGCAGUGGAACCAAACAAAGCUAAUCUUGUAAUUCACAGCUCACAAUCUAUCAAUGUAAGAUAGCCGACUCGAGCUGCAGGUGCCACACCUUGGUCCAGCCGUGAUGAGCCUCCAGGUCAUCGAUGGACAGGGCGAUCAAUUUCACGUUGCGUUUACUGAACUCACUGCUCAGUCUUGCAGCGCGGCCCAGCUCUGUGGUGCAGACGGGGGUGUAGUCUCUGGGGUGGGAGAACAGGAUCCCCCACCUAUAUAAUAAAAACAGAGAUUAUUGUGCCAUGUUAGGAUCAGGAGAGAUAAUCUAAGGUUUCAAUCUCUAAAUUUAGAAUCAGAUUGAGAGAAUUGUAAUCUCACAAUCUCUACUGUGGUUUUCUUUCUUUCUUGUGGAGUUGUUACACAGUAGACUGUGGCUGAAUGAUUCAGCUGACAGCAAACUGACAGGAUGUGACCUCUUUGUCACUCAAAUGUUGAAAUGAAAACACAAGGCACUUUUUUCAACAAGUCAGCAGUUUGAUUGUGCCCCAUCAACAGGGUGGGAGAUUUUAAGUUUAACUUCUGACCUUCACCACUCACUGAUGCUUUUCAUUUGAAUCAAUUCAUGGUGUUCAAGAGAUUUUACAAAGAUGAAUCUAAUAACUGACAGAGCACAUUAA